GAUGAAGAACGUAGCGAAAUGCGAUAAGUAAUGUGAAUUGCAGAAUUCAGUGAAUCAUCGAAUCUUUGAACGCACAUUGCGCCCGUCAGUAUUCUGGCGGGCAUGCCUGUUCGAGCGUCAUUACGCCCCUCAAGUCCCCUGUGGACUUGGUGUUGGGGAUCGGCGAGGCUGGUUUUCCAGCACAGCCGUCCCUUAAAUUAAUUGGCGGUCUCGCCGUGGCCCUCCUCUGCGCAGUAGUAAAACACUCGCAACAGGAGCCCGGCGCGGUCCACUGCCGUAAAACCCCCCAACUUUUUAUAGUUGACCUCGAAUCAGGUAGGACUACCCGCUGAACUUAAGCAUAUCAAUAAGCGAGG
rnacentral:misc_RNA from 1 species